GCCUCGAUGGAUCAGUGGCAGAGCGGUGGAAAGGUACUUCACGCGUCCCGGGUUCGAUUUCCGGUCGAUGCU